CUCUCUAUCUCUCUUCUUUCUCUACCCCUUACACGCCGGAUGAGGAUUCUUUGUCCCACUCCCUCCUGUCUCCCUAUCCCAAACAUCCUCUUUAUUAUUGGAUCUAUUUCUCCGACUCUAAUCUUGUAAAAGAGAAGAAACUUGGGACAAAGGUUAUGCAAAGUGAGACAGAGGAUCCGGUUGCCCAUUGGCUAAGGAUUCUCUGUCCCACUCUCAUGUCUCCCUAUUCCAAACAUCCUUUUUAUCAUUGGAUCUAUUUCUUUGACUCUGAUCUUGUGAGAGAGAAGAAACUUACAACAAAAGGAAUAAAGAGAGUGAGACAGAGGAUUCGAAUCCUUACCCACUUGCCCCUUCUUUAACUCAAAAUUUAAACCCAAAAAAAAAAA